UACGAAGGGGGCUAGCGUUGUUCGGAUUCAUUGGGCGUAAAGGGUGCGUAGGUGGCGGGGUAAGUCAGGUGUGAAAUCUCGGGGCUCAACCCCGAAACUGCACUUGAUACUGCCUUGCUCGAGUACUGGAGAGGAGAUUGGAAUUUACGGUGUAGCAGUGAAAUGCGUAGAUAUCGUAAGGAAGACCAGUGGCGAAGGCGAAUCUCUGGACAGUUACUGACACUGAGGCACGAAGGCCAGGGGAGCAAACGGG
rnacentral:rRNA from 1 species